AGCAAUCAAUUAUGUGAUACAUUUGCUCUGGUUAAAAGUUUUCAAGUCUUAGUAAGCUUAUCGAUAUGAACAAUUUUUAAUAUAAAAGUGAAAUUAAAGUACAUAAUAUUAUCGUGUUUAAUGUAUUCUACUGCGACGAUACAUUCUCUCAAAAACAAGCACAUAUUAAAGGAACUGCAUGACAAGAUAAUAAAAGAAGUCAUUCAAUAUAUAACCGGCCAGUUAUACAAACAAAAAAUAGAAGAUAAUGUUACCGACGAAUCCCUACAUUGUCAUUUUGAAGAAAUGGCAGGUAAAUGAAUACCGAGAAGAAUGUGAUGAUGGAGAUAGCGACUUGAAGCGAAUAUGGAAUUUUGCUAAUUUCAAAAAGACGCGACGGAAAUUAAAUUUUGCUGUAUAAACCCAGAAGGAGGUCAUAUUAUACAAGACGAAAUAAUUUGAUAUUGCGGAGAACAAGUAACUGCGGAUCAAAUUAGAGAAGUUAUGUCUCAGUACGGAAUAAAGAUCUGUAAAACUUGUAAGUAUAGUCUACGAAAUUACAAUAUUUUACUCACUUUCAUUGUUUUAUUGUAUUCAGCUAUUACGAGUAUAAUGUUAUAUAGCGUGGCAGUUGCCGUUUAGGUAAAAAACCUUAAUAAAAUUGUGAAAGGGAGGAUGGGUGGAGUUAAGCUUAUCAGCGCGCAUUAGUCAAUCGCACUCGACCUUUAGUCCUAAAUGUUUAACUUGAAUGCCAUUUAAACUAGGAAUUAAAUUGUAUACAAUAUAUUGACUUGUUAUUAUUGUUGUGAUUUUACUAUAGAAUCUAC